GGAUAACCUGCCCUAAGGAAGGGGAUAACCUCGGGAAACUGAGGAUAAUACCCUAUAGGAUACCGAUGCUGGAAUGCCCGGUAUCCCAAAGCUCCGGCGCCUUAGGAUGGAUCUGCGGCCGAUUAGGUCGUUGUUGGGGUAACGGCCCAACAAGCCGAUAAUCGGUACGGGUUGUGGGAGCAAGAGCCCGGAGUUGGAUUCUGAGACACGAAUCCAGGCCCUACGGGGCGCAGCAGGCGCGAAAACUUUACAAUGCGGGCAACCGUGAUAAGGGAACCUCGAGUGCCUGUACAUGCAGGCUGUCUGGGUGUCUAAAACACACCCAAAGAAAGGGCCGGGCAAGACCGGUGCCAGCCGCCGCGGUAAUACCGGCGGCUCGAGUGGUGGCCACUUUUAUUGGGCUUAAAGCGUUCGUAGCUGGGUUGUUAAGUCUCUUGGGAAAUCUGGCAGCUUAACUGUCAGGCGUCUAAGAGAUACUGGCAAUCUAGGAACCGGGAGAGGUGAGGGGUACUUCGGGGGUAGGAGUGAAAUCCUGUAAUCCUCGAGGGACCACCUGUGGCGAAGGCGCCUCACCAGAACGGCUUCGACAGUGAGGGACGAAAGCUGGGGGAGCAAACCGGAUUAGAUACCCGGGUAGUCCCAGCCGUAAACGAUGCGCGUUAGGUGUGUCGAUGACCACGAGUCAUCGAGGUGCCGAAGGGAAACCGUGAAACGCGCCGCCUGGGAAGUACGGUCGCAAGGCU
rnacentral:rRNA from 1 species